UGAAUAUGGCAAUUCUUUAUUCAGAGCACUGCAAAUGACUGGCAAUCUAUUGCAGUUACCACCAAUGGAGAAAGGAAAAAAAAGAAGGAUAUGACAAUUUAAAAGUGCUCAUUUCAAAUGAGAAGAUUUUCAAUCUGCCUGCAACUAGCUGCCUAAACUUUUAGACGAAUAGGGAAGAAUGCAGUCAAUCACCCAGAUGUUCCUCCUGCGGGAGG